UCGCGUUCUCUUUCUCCCUCACGCCGACGAGUCCUUACCCCUCAACUCUCACCUCGUUGAUUCGUUCCAUUCUCUCAGAUUAGCCUCGCAGUUUCAUAGCGUCGCCACUCGUAAGUUGUAAUUCGCACCAGUGGUGGCCGGUGGAGUUUUCAGAUAACAAAAUCGACACCUAAAUUAAAAAAAUCGACAGCUAGCAUAGACAAGUAAUUGAAGACCGUAUAAUUUGUUUAAGACUCUCAUUUGUCACUGUGAGGUUGUCAGACAGCAAAAUCAAGAGGCAAGCACUUAGUCUCAUUUAGUGAUUAGGCUGAUGAGUAUUUUCGGUUUCAACGUGUUGAGUUUUUUUACACAUCUGUAUGAGUUUGACUUUUUUCAAUUCUACUGCUGACCUACUACUACUAUAUACCUGAUUAAUUGAUUAUUAUUCACUAAUUGCCAUAUUAGUUCAUAUUAUGUUACAUGUUCACCGAAUUGGUAACUGUUAUAAUUAUUUAAUGUUCACUGUUACACAUAUGUAAUUUACUAAGAUGCUGUUUGUUUUUCUAUAAAAACCUCUUCAAACCACUUAUUGCUGCCCGGCGCAGCACACGCGCAACACUUUCCUUCUUGCAACAGUUUGUUUUUUGGAAGACUUCAAACUACAAAACCUCUGCGCGUGUGCUGCGUGGCGCAACACUUGACUUGCCUCUUCUAACCUCUUCACCUUUCAUUUUUUCUAAGUGUUUUUUUAAGAAUUUUUGUAUAACUUUUUAAAUUUUUUUUUUUAACUUUGAUUUUCAUAAAUUUUUAUUUACGGAUGUGACACAAUUUAUUUUUAUAAUUUCCACGAUUUUUUUUAACUUGAUUUUUUUAAUUUUUUUUACCGUUUUAUUAAUAAUAUUUUCAAUUUCAGUUGCAUCUUUUUUAACGUGUGUAAUUUUUUACGAACUUUGUAGACAACGUUUGCAAUACUUUCUUAAUUUUUUUAUUAUUUUCUUUUUUAAUGUUUUUUAAAAUUAGUUUUUUUCUAGAAUAAAACUAUUAGCUUCUUUUACAUUUUUUUAAGUUUUAUUUUUAAAAAAAGUUUUAUAUUUUUGUUUUUUUACAUGUUCUUUUUAUUAUUAUUUCAAUGUUUUAAAACUAGAAUUAUUAAAUUUCGGUGUUGAAAACUAUUUUCAGUUUAUAAAAUUAGUUUAUUUAAAUUUCAGUUUACUGCAGAUGUUAAAAAACAAACAUGCUUCUUAUUAUAGGCUGCAGCCGUUUGUUCCACCUCUUCUGCUACAGAGGAUUGCAGAGGUGGUCCGCAGACUUCAUGAAUUUUUGCUUCGAAAAAACAAACACCACCUAAUUCUGUAUGAGUUUUUAUUUAUGUUAGUUGAUAAUUUGUUUUCAGAAUCUGUUAAUUGGUUAUUGUUUACUGAUUGAAUAUGAUUUUUUUUUUAAUUUUAAUUUUCAUAAUCUGAUAUUGUGUUUAUUUUCAUAAUCUGUUGAUUGAUUAUUGUUCACUAAUUUAUAACCAUGACUUCUGAGUAUGUGGAAGAAUUGGAAGAGAAGUUGCCGAAAAUAGAACUUGUCAAGUAUUUUUGCAUAAUUAUAAGUUUAUAAUUCCAUUACAUUUUCUUUUAUUUGUAGAUGAAUUGGGACAUGGUGAAGUGAUUCAUAUGGAUAAAGAUUGAAGAUUGAACUUGGUUGUAAUAACAACUUGGUUGUUUUCUACUUGGUUUGGCUCAUGGGUAGAUUUUACCAUAUAUUAGGAAGAAAGUUUGACAAUGCAUUUUGCUCGACGUUUUCGGGUCCGGAAGCUUCAGUAAAAGAAUGUACAAGAGAACCGCCAGCAAGGAUAAACUGGAUUCUCAUGGAUCUUCUUCUACACGUGAUGUUAGACCCAAAAUAAUAAUAAAAAAAAUCCAUUCCCCCCAAACCAUGCGGAACAUGGGCUCCCCACUAGUUUGUAUAAUGGAUACCCAACUUCUUGGCUUUCUCUUCUUUAAUAAAACUAUGUGUUGCUCCAGAAUCUACCAACACAUUGGUGUUUUUUCAAUUCACCUUGGCUUCGACAACCAUGAUAGUCUCAUCCUUUAGUUUCAUUCCCUUGCGUUCUUUCCUCCUAUCCUUCAUUAUUGAGUUGAGAAGAUGCAUUCAGCUUAUAUGUGCUUCGUCUUCUUUUUCCUGCAACACCAUCUGAUAGUAGGUCUUUUUCUUUGGCCAAUCUCGGAUCAAGCGAGGACCAUCACAUAGGUAACAUCUUGACCUCUUUCCGUUCUCAUUUUUUAUUUCUUCCUUCUAUAUCUUUUCCUUUUGAAUUUGAGGAUUGGGGUGCGACUUGCUUUGCUUGUGGUUUUGGUGUAGAAUGAUCUCCCCCAUUAUUUUUCUUAACUGUGGUUUCCCUUUGGAAUUCCAUAAGAUCUUCUGUCAUGAAAAUAACAUCGUCUAUAUCUCGAACGAUUCUCCUCUUGAGCUCAUUAUAAUCCCAAUAUUGUAGUCUAUCCAUGAAAUAGAAGAGCUUGUCUUUUUCCUGCACAUCAAGAAACUCAAGCAUUAAGGUCGUAAACACGACCAUAGUCUCGAAUUGACCCGAUAUUCUUUAAGCCCACGAACUUUCUUCAUCGCUAUAUCUUUUGCGUUAUGUAGGUAGAAUUGUCUCUUAUGUUUCCUUUUGAAUUUGUCCCACGUGUAUAUAGUGUAUAAGUCUUUUAGAUAUGAAUGAGGAGAAAGAACUUCUGUAUGCAAAGUUGAUUCAAGCUUCUAAGCAAC